rnacentral:tRNA from 1 species
GGCACGGUAGCUUAGUUGGUUAGAGCGCGGGCCUUUUAAGCCCGAUGUCGCGGGUUCGAGUCCCGCUCGCGCCU